rnacentral:rRNA from 1 species
AACGAACGCUGGCGGCGUGCUUAACACAUGCAAGUCGAACGGUAAAGCCCUUCGGGGUACACGAGUGGCGAACGGGUGAGUAACACGUGGGUGAUCUGCCCUGCACUUCGGGAUAAGCCUGGGAAACUGGGUCUAAUACCGGAUAGGACCACUGCCUGCAUGGGUGGUGGUGGAAAGCUUUUGCGGUGUGGGAUGGGCCCGCGGCCUAUCAGCUUGUUGGUGGGGUGAUGGCCUACCAAGGCGACGACGGGUAGCCGGCCUGAGAGGGUGACCGGCCACACUGGGACUGAGAUACGGCCCAGACUCCUACGGGAGGCAGCAGUGGGGAAUAUUGCACAAUGGGCGCAAGCCUGAUGCAGCGACGCCGCGUGAGGGAUGACGGCCUUCGGGUUGUAAACCUCUUUCAGCACCGACGAAGCGCAAGUGACGGUAGGUGCAGAAGAAGGACCGGCCAACUACGUGCCAGCAGCCGCAGUAA